rnacentral:rRNA from 1 species
AGAGUUUGAUCAUGGCUCAGAUUGAACGCUGGCGGCAUGCCUUACACAUGCAAGUCGAACGGCAGCGCGGGGCAACCUGGCGGCGAGUGGCGAACGGGUGAGUAAUAUAUCGGAACAUACCCUAGAGUGGGGGAUAACGUAGCGAAAGUUACGCUAAUACCGCAUACGCACUAAGGUGGAAAGUGGGGGAUCGCAAGACCUCAUGCUCAUGGAGUGGCCGGUAUCUGAUUAGCUAGUUGGUGAGGUAAAGGCUCACCAAGGCGACGAUCAGUAGCUGGUCUGAGAGGACGACCAGCCACACUGGAACUGAGACACGGUCCAGACUCCUACGGGAGGCAGCAGUGGGGAAUUUUGGACAAUGGGGGCAACCCUGAUCCAGCAAUGCCGCGUGAGUGAAGAAGGCCUUCGGGUUGUAAAGCUCUUUUGUCAGGGAAGAAACGGUGGUCUCUAAUAUAGGCUGCUAAUGACGGUACCUGAAGAAUAAGCACCGGCUAACUACGUGCCAGCAGCCGCGGUAAUACGUAGGGUGCAAGCGUUAAUCGGAAUUACUGGGCGUAAAGCGUGCGCAGGCGGUUAUAUAAGUCAGAUGUGAAAUCCCCGGGCUCAACCUGGGAACUGCAUUUGAGACUGUAUGGCUAGAGUGUGUCAGAGGGGGGUAGAAUUCCACGUGUAGCAGUGAAAUGCGUAGAUAUGUGGAGGAAUACCGAUGGCGAAGGCAGCCCCCUGGGAUAACACUGACGCUCAUGCACGAAAGCGUGGGGAGCAAACAGGAUUAGAUACCCUGGUAGUCCACGCCCUAAACGAUGUCUACUAGUUGUCGGGUCUUAAUUGACUUGGUAACGCAGCUAACGCGUGAAGUAGACCGCCUGGGGAGUACGGUCGCAAGAUUAAAACU